UGGUCAAGCGAAUAAGUGCACAGGGUGGAUGCCUAGGCACGGACCGGCGAUGAAGGACGUGGCAAGCUGCGAAAAGCCUCGGUCAGCUGCAAGCAAGCUUUGACCCGGGGAUGUCCGAAUGGGGAAACCCGGCGGGAGCAAUCCCGUCACUCUACGGAGAGCCAACCCAGGGAACUGAAACAUCUAAGUACCUGGAGGAAAAGAAAUCAAUUGAGAUUCCCGGAGUAGCGGCGAGCGAAAUGGGAAUAGCCCAAACCCGGGUGGGGUGACUCACCUGGGGGUUGUGGGGCCAUGGCAAGGCGAGCAGAAGCAUAGCGGAACCGUACUGGAACGUACGACCGGAGAGGGUGAGAGUCCCGUAUGCGAAAUGCGAGUAUGCAAGCUGUCAUGGUACCCGAGUAGGCCGGGACACGUGAAACCCUGGCUGAAUCUGGGAGGACCAUCUUCCAAGGCUAAAUACGAGUCCGUGACCGAUAGUGGAGAGUACCGUGAGGGAAAGGUGAAAAGAACGCCUGACGGCGAGUGAAAUAGACCCUGAAACCGUGUGCAUACAAGCGGUCGGAGCCUGACGUAUUUCCUCGGUAGUGCGGGUGGGUGACGGCGUGCCUUUUGCAUUAUGAUCCGGCGAGUUACUCCUCAUGUGCGAGGUUAAGGGCCUCUGGUCCGGAGCCGCAGCGAAAGCGAGUCUGAACAGGGCGAUGAGUGCAUGGGGGUAGACCCGAAACCGACGCGAUCUAUCCAUGGCCAGGGUGAAGCUGGGGUAACACCCGGUGGAGGCCCGAACCGUUGUGGGUUGAAAACUGCUCGGAUGAGCUGUGGAUAGGGGUGAAAGGCCAAUCAAGCUCGGAGAUAGCUGGUUCUCCCCGAAAUAUAUUUUGGUAUAGCCUCAGGGAAUU
rnacentral:rRNA from 1 species